GACGAACGCUGGCGGCGUGCCUAAUACAUGCAAGUAGAACGCUGAAGGAGGAGCUUGCUUCUCUGGAUGAGUUGCGAACGGGUGAGUAACGCGUAGGUAACCUGCCUGGUAGCGGGGGAUAACUAUUGGAAACGAUAGCUAAUACCGCAUAACAGUAGAUAUCGCAUGAUAUCUACUUGAAAGGUGCAAUUGCAUCACUACCAGAUGGCCCUGCGUUGUAUUAGCUAGUUGGUGAGGUAACGGCUCACCAAGGCGACGAUACAUAGCCGACCUGAGAGGGUGAUCGGCCAAACUGGGACUGAGACACGGCCCAGACUCCUACGGGAGGCAGCAGUAGGGAAUCUUCGGCAAUGGACGGAAGUCUGACCGAGCAACGCCGCGUGAGUGAAGAAGGUUUUCGGAUCGUAAAGCUCUGUUGUAAGAGAAGAACGAGUGUGAGAGUGGAAAGUUCACACUGUGACGGUAUCUGACCAGAAAGGGACGGCUAACUACGUG
rnacentral:rRNA from 1 species